UACGUAGGUCCCGAGCGCUGUCCGGAUUUAUUGGGCGUAAAGCGAGCGCAGGUGGUUUAUUAAGUCUGGUGUAAAAGGCAGUGGCUCAACCAUUGUAUGCAUUGGAAACUGGUAGACUUGAGUGCAGGAGAGGAGAGUGGAAUUCCAUGUGUAGCGGUGAAAUGCGUAGAUAUAUGGAGGAGCACCGGUGGCGAAAGCGGCUCUCUGGCCUGUAACUGACACUGAGGCUCGAAAGCGUGGGGAGCAAACAGG
rnacentral:rRNA from 1 species